UACGAAGGGGACUAGCGUUGUUCGGAAUCACUGGGCGUAAAGCGCACGUAGGCGGCUUUGUAAGUCAGGGGUGAAAUCCCGGGGCUCAACCUCGGAACUGCCUUUGAUACUGCGAAUCUCGAGUCCGAUAGAGGUGGGUGGAAUUCCUAGUGUAGAGGUGAAAUUCGUAGAUAUUAGGAAGAACACCGGUGGCGAAGGCGGCCCACUGGAUCGGUACUGACGCUGAGGUGCGAAAGCGUGGGGAGCAAACAGG
rnacentral:rRNA from 1 species